UUUUGUUUAUUAUCAUAUAUUUAUUAUAAAAAUAACAGCCAUUAGCACUUACAAUUUUACAACUUUAUAAAUUCAUACACGAAAAUAUAUUCUACAGCUUAAAAAUUUGAAAGUGUACAAAAAUUAAUAUAAUUUGCUACUAGGUGUGCCAUUAUUCUUUAUUAGGCACUGUAUCUGUACCAUGGUCUAAUUGUCCAAUUAAUAAUUAUUAUAAUAGUUAUUGCAUGAAUAUUGGUAAAUAUUGUCCUGCAUAGAUUUGUAAAUUGCACAGACCUGCUAGUGCAAUAUAUAUUCUUGACGAGAACAUAUUCACCAAUAUUCAUUUUUUAACAAGAGGCACUUGUCUCAGAAAAAAAAAUCCUAUAUACCUUCAUAUUAAGGUAUAUAGGAUUUUUUUUUAUCGGAGACAAGUGAUGUGGUUUUAACCCUUUAUUUUGUAUAGAAAUGCUUGAAACAUUUUUGUCACAGAUAGCAUCACUUAUUUGAAGCUUUAUUUGCACUAGCGCAAUAUGAUACAUUAUCAUAUACUUGUAUAAAAUAUUACUAAAAUUUUACAGUUCAAUAACAUUUGAAAAUAUCAAAAUGGCUAUGAAAGGAUUACUAGGUUUAUUGACCAGAUUCCUUGGAAUUUCAAUAGCGGGCUGAUAAAGGUACCUUUAUUGACUGCUUCCGGUAUGUUAUCACAUGCCUUUCCGUUAAUUUCCGUGACGUUUAUCACAUGCAACUUCGUGCAUUUCCGGAAAUUUGUUUGAAAACGACAACAGAACGCGGAAAACGGCAAGUGAUAAGACUUUUCCUAAAAUGGUUGAGGAGCAAAAAUGAAUUAAGUUAAACUUGUUUUGAAAGACAUAAAUGAGUUGACAAUAUUAAUGAAGAACAUGAUAAUUGUUGUGAAAAGAUAAAUACAUGCUUGUAAUCGCGUGCAACAAAAACAAUUAAAGUUAAGAUUUUUUUUGGUUGUCUGUAAAUAUUAUCUCAAAAUGCAAAGACAAACAAAAUUAAAUUUUAAUAGUUCUUGUCUGUAUUUCUUCUGCUGAAGUAUAUGAUAAAAAGAUAAUUACAUGUCAUUUUUCAUAUCUGACCCUUUAUCGGCCCUCGUUCAUGAUAUUAGCCCUCGAGCCUGUGGCUCUUGGGCUGAUAUCAUAACCUUGGGCCGAUAAAGGGUCUGAUAUGAAAAAUGCCAUGUAAUAAUCUAUACUUAUUGCAUGCUUACUUUAAGCUAACGGUCUUUAUGAUUUGAUGAUGUUAUACAAAACUUAUUGUAACUCUUUCAAAAAUGGAUAAAAAUAAAUGUAGCAGAACAAUUUCUGGUUGCGUCCUUUUAAUACACGAGUUACAAUGGUGGACUAUGAGUUUUGCGUCCUUUUAAUAAAUAAGUUACACUGGUGAACUAAAAGUAAUGCAUGUAAAUGACAUCAUUGAAAAUCAACUCUUACUCUGACUUAUAACCCAAGCAACUAGAUGUCAGAAAAGUAUAAAUGAAAGUUGUCUUUAUAUCUAUUUCAUGGUUCACCUAGCAAAAAUACAACUUUAUUUAAUUUUUCUUUUUUCUUUGUGGCACUUUAAAAUAUAUAGAUAUAAUAGGCUGUAAUAUCAUCUAUAUAAAAUGGUAUAUAAUAUAUCAAUCACAUGCUUUCUCGUUAAAUUUACAAAUGAAAACAUAUAACUUUAUUUCAUUUUUCUUUUUUCUUUGUAGCACUUUCAAAUAAAUAUAAUAAGCUGAACAAUUAUCUAUAUAAUAUAGGGU
rnacentral:lncRNA from 1 species